GUGCCAGCAGCCGCGGUAAGACAGAGGUGGCAAGCGUUGUUCGGAAUCAUUGGGCUUAAAGGGCGCGUAGGCGGCCCUGUAAGUGUCUCGUGAAAUCCCUCGGCUCAACCGAGGAAUCGCCGGGCAUACUGCAGGGCUUGAGGUAGGAAUGGGCGAGUGGAACUCUUGGUGGAGCGGUGGAAUGCGUAGAUAUCAAGAGGAACGCCGGUGGUGAAGACGACUCGCUGGGCCUAUCCUGACGCUGAGGCGCGAAAGCCAGGGGAGCAAACGGGAUUAGAAACCCCUGUAGUCC
rnacentral:rRNA from 1 species